rnacentral:rRNA from 1 species
UACGAGGGGGCGAGCGUUGUUCGGAAUUAUUGGGCGUAAAGGGUGCGUAGGCGGUUUGGUAAGUCUGAUGUGAAAUCUAUGGGCUCAACUCAUAGUCUGCAUCGGAAACUGCCGGGCUUGAGUGUGGGAGAGGUGAGUGGAAUUCCUGGUGUAGCGGUGAAAUGCGUAGAUAUCAGGAGGAACACCUGUGGCGAAAGCGGCUCACUGACCAUAACUGACGCUGAUGCACGAAAGCUAGGGGAGCAAACAGG